rnacentral:lncRNA from 1 species
AUGGCCAAAAUCAACGUUGGGUUGGCCAACGGCGGAGGAAUCGGGUUUGGGAUGGCCAAAAUCAACAUUUGGGGGGUCAACGGUGAAGGAAUUCGCAUUAGGAUGGUCAACGGUGGAGGAAUCGGUUUUGGGAUGGCCAAAAUCAACAUUUGGGGGGUCAACGGUGAAGGAAUUCGCAUUAGGAUGGUCAACGGUGGAGGAAUCGGUUUUGGGAUGGCCAAAAUCAACAUUUGGGGGGUCAACGGUGAAGGAAUUCGCAUUAGGAUGGUCAACGGUGGAGGAAUCGGUUUUGGGAUGGCCAAAAUCAACAUUUGGGGGGUCAACGGUGAAGGAAUUCGCAUUAGGAUGGUCAACGGUGGAGGAAUCGGUUUUGGGAUGGCCAAAAUCAACAUUUGGGGGGUCAACGGUGAAGGAAUUCGCAUUAGGAUGGUCAACGGUGGAGGAAUCGGUUUUGGGAUGGCCAAAAUCAACAUUUGGGGGGUCAACGGUGAAGGAAUUCGCAUUAGGAUGGUCAACGGUGGAGGAAUCGGUUUUGGGAUGGCCAAAAUCAACAUUUGGGGGGUCAACGGUGAAGGAAUUCGCAUUAGGAUGGUCAACGGUGGAGGAAUCGGUUUUGGGAUGGCCAAAAUCAACAUUUGGGGGGUCAACGGUGAAGGAAUUCGCAUUAGGAUGGUCAACGGUGGAGGAAUCGGUUUUGGGAUGGCCAAAAUCAACAUUUGGGGGGUCAACGGUGAAGGAAUUCGCAUUAGGAUGGUCAACGGUGGAGGAAUCGGUUUUGGGAUGGCCAAAAUCAACAUUUGGGGGGUCAACGGUGAAGGAAUUCGCAUUAGGAUGGUCAACGGUGGAGGAAUCGGUUUUGGGAUGGCCAAAAUCAACAUUUGGGGGGUCAACGGUGAAGGAAUUCGCAUUAGGAUGGUCAACGGUGGAGGAAUCGGUUUUGGGAUGGCCAAAAUCAACAUUUGGGGGGUCAACGGUGAAGGAAUUCGCAUUAGGAUGGUCAACGGUGGAGGAAUCGGUUUUGGGAUGGCCAAAAUCAACAUUUGGGGGGUCAACGGUGAAGGAAUUCGCAUUAGGAUGGUCAACGGUGGAGGAAUCGGUUUUGGGAUGGCCAAAAUCAACAUUUGGGGGGUCAACGGUGAAGGAAUUCGCAUUAGGAUGGUCAACGGUGGAGGAAUCGGUUUUGGGAUGGCCAAAAUCAACAUUUGGGGGGUCAACGGUGAAGGAAUUCGCAUUAGGAUGGUCAACGGUGGAGGAAUCGGUUUUGGGAUGGCCAAAAUCAACAUUUGGGGGGUCAACGGUGAAGGAAUUCGCAUUAGGAUGGUCAACGGUGGAGGAAUCGGUUUUGGGAUGGCCAAAAUCAACAUUUGGGGGGUCAACGGUGAAGGAAUUCGCAUUAGGAUGGUCAACGGUGGAGGAAUCGGUUUUGGGAUGGCCAAAAUCAACAUUUGGGGGGUCAACGGUGAAGGAAUUCGCAUUAGGAUGGUCAACGGUGGAGGAAUCGGUUUUGGGAUGGCCAAAAUCAACAUUUGGGGGGUCAACGGUGAAGGAAUUCGCAUUAGGAUGGUCAACGGUGGAGGAAUCGGUUUUGGGAUGGCCAAAAUCAACAUUUGGGGGGUCAACGGUGAAGGAAUUCGCAUUAGGAUGGUCAACGGUGGAGGAAUCGGUUUUGGGAUGGCCAAAAUCAACAUUUGGGGGGUCAACGGUGAAGGAAUUCGCAUUAGGAUGGUCAACGGUGGAGGAAUCGGUUUUGGGAUGGCCAAAAUCAACAUUUGGGGGGUCAACGGUGAAGGAAUUCGCAUUAGGAUGGUCAACGGUGGAGGAAUCGGUUUUGGGAUGGCCAAAAUCAACAUUUGGGUGGUCAACGGUAGAGGAAUCAACGUUGGGUUGGCCAACGGGAGAGGAAUCGGCGUUGAGGUGGUCAAUGGUGGAGGAAUCGGCUUUGGGAUGGCCAAAAUCAACAUUUGGGUGGCCAAAAUCACCAUUGGAGUGGUCAACGGUAGAGGAAUCGGCGUUGCGGCGGCCAAAAUCAACAUUUGGGUGGCCAACGGUGGAGGAAUCGGCGUUUUGAUGGCCAAAAUCAAUAUUUGGGUGGUCAACGGUAGAGGAAUCGGUGUUUUGAUGGCCAAAAUCAAUAUUUGGGUGGUCAAUGGUUGA